ensembl:lncRNA
UUCUGAGUGGCUGAGAGGCUGUGUGGGAAAAUCUCAGCAGAUCAGCAGUUUCAGACCAGCCUGUCUGUCCCCACCAACGUGCCGUGCUCAAAAAAAAGCCAGCACCCACCACCACUUCCCCUGCCAGUGGCGGACUCCCUCAGGUAUCGGUGCGUUGGUGGUUCUUUGUGUCUGGGGGUGGGCGUCCGGGUACACACCGGCUCACUCCUUGGCGGCCGCUCAUCGGGGCCUGGAGCCUGGGGCUCGCUCGGGCCACUUCGGAGGUGGGGUGCCCCCAGCCUCUCGGCCUGGGGCUUGGUCACUCAGGCACAGCUGGCUGCCGGCGGAGCUCAUGGGCGCGUCACUACAACUCCCCCUGGCUUCUGCUCCGCGGCUGCUGGGUGAGCCCUCAUCUGGGACUCUCCUCAGCUCUUACUGGGACAGUGGCGCGGCUGCCCCUCUGUUUUUUUUAUUAUGUUGCUCUUUGUUGUUUGCUUUCUCUUCUGUUUUUUUUCUCCACACAGGUGACCCAGGUGUUUUGUUUUUUUGUUUGUUUGUUUUUUUCUUUCUUCCCCCCCUUCUCACCGUCUCUUCUCCCCUUUGGUUUUCUUUCUCUCCCUCUCUUUCUUUCAUUCUUUCUCCCUGUCCUAUCCCCCAGUCAUGUCUGUCCCGUUUGUAGCAACUGAAAAUAAAAUAAAUUCAUAAUUAUAAUAAAGGUCAAUCAAAUGGACCAAUAUGGCAAGGCCAUGAUGAUCCACUUGGUAAAAUAAAUCCGCUUGGCAUCUUUCUUGGCCUUAAGACAACAAUUCUGAUGGCUAAAGAUCCAAACGGGACACACAAAAAAAAAAAAAGAAAAAGCCAGCAGCUGUUGACGUGCUGCACCUCCAAUCUUAUUGUAUAUGUAUCACUGAUGGGAAAAGAGAUGGAGGCGGAGGAGGUGGGGGUGCCAAGGGUGUGUGUGUGUGUGUGUGUGUGUGUGUGUGUGUGUGUGUGUGUGUGUGUUUGGGUUGGCGGUGCAAGUUGCUGGGGCGUAAAAAGUCCAC